AGACGACGCUGGCGGCGUGCCUAAUACAUGCAAGUCGAGCGGGGGAUUAUGCUUGAUCGCUUCGGUGAGACGGCAUAUAUCCUAGCGGCGGACGGGUGAGUAACGCGUGGGUAAUCUACCUCGUAGUUCGGGAUAACAGGCCGAAAGGCUUGCUAAUACCGGAUGAGUUCAUGCUUAUGCAUAUAGGCAUGAAGAAAGGGCUAGCCCGCUAUGAGAUGAGCCCGCGUCCCAUUAGCUUGUUGGUGGGGUAAUGGCCUACCAAGGCAACGAUGGGUAGCCGGCCUGAGAGGGUGUACGGCCACACUGGGACUGAGACACGGCCCAGACUCCUACGGGGGGCAGCAGUAGGGAAUUUUCGGCAAUGGGCGAAAGCCUGACCGAGCGACGCCGCGUGAGGGACGAAGGCCUUCGGGUUGUAAACCUCUGUCUGGGGGGAUGAGAACGGACGGUACCCCCGGAGGAAGCCCCGGCUAACUACGUG
rnacentral:rRNA from 1 species